rfam:Larimichthys crocea isolate SSNF unplaced genomic scaffold scaffold378, whole genome shotgun sequence.
GCCAGCUAAUGAUGACCUGCACUAAAACCCAAAACUGGGGAGUGCAGGCCUGAUGUCACCUGGC